UUGCUUUGGCAGCACAUAUACCAACAUUGAAAUGAUACAGAGAAAAUAAUCAUGGCCCAAUGCAAGGGUGACAAGCAAAUUCAUGUUUUU
ensembl:snRNA U6 U6 spliceosomal RNA